rnacentral:ncRNA from 1 species
AAAAAUUAAAAAUGUUAAAUUAGCAGAAAUAUCAAAAAAAUUAUUUAAUUUUAAUAAUAUGAAUUCUAAUAAUUUUAUACAACAAGAUAAUACAGAUUCUAAAUAUUUAAAAAAAAUUAUUUUAAGUAAUUUAAAAUAUAAAAGAGUAUCUGGUGUUAGAUUAGAAGCUGCUGGUAGAUUAACUAGACGUUUUUCAGCUUCUAGAUCUCAACGUAGAACUAAAUAUAAAGGAAAUUUAGAAAAUGUAUAUUCUUCUAUUAAAGGUUAUCCAACACCUAUGUUAAGAGGAAAUGAUAAAGCUAAUUUACAAUAUACUGUAAUUAACUCUACUUCACGUGUUGGAGCUUUUGGAGUUAAAGGUUGAGUAAGUGGUACUUAAUUUCUUUUCUUUUUUUUUCUUUUUUCAAUUAUCCCUCCCUUAAAUUAAUUAAUAAAGAUGAUGAAAUAGUCUGAACCGUUUUGAGAAAAAUGGAAAUAAAAGUAAAAUUGACGCGUUUUACGUGUUUAUUCAGUAUAAAGCUGAAUCUUUUAUGAUAACAUAAAUUGAACAGGCUAAUUUGCGCAAGAGAGUACAAAUUGAGUGCGCGGUUUGGCACCUCGAUGUCGGCUUAGCUCAUCCUCAUGCAUGCAGAAAUCAUGAAGGGUUCGACUGUUCGUCGAUUAAAGAGCUACAUGAGCUGGGUUUAAUACGUCGUGAGACAGUAUGGUUUCUAUCUUCUAGAGGAACAUAAAGUAGAUUAAAGAUAGCCCCUUCGUACGAAAGGAGUUGGGUAUAUUGAUCUCUGGUUUACCUGUUGUUUAUGUUUUAUAUUAUAAUUUUAUUAUAAUAAUAACUAAUACUUAUACUAAGGUAUUGUUACACUGUAUAAUACGUGUGUAACUUGACCACAUAGGCAUGGCAGGAAAGCUACAUCAGUUUAAGAUAAGUGUUGAAAGCAUCUAAACGCGAAGCAAACUUUAUGAUACUUAUAAACGUAGUAGAACACUACGAGUAUAAUUGUUAUAUUUAUAACAAUUAAUAGGCUUUGGUUGUAAGAAUGAAAACAUUUUUAGAUAUAAAGUACUAAUUAUUAAUAUUAUUAAAUAUU